rnacentral:rRNA from 1 species
AUACAGGGGGUGCGAGCGUUAAUCGGAAUUACUGGGCGUAAAGAGUACGUAGGCGGUUGCUUAAGUCAGAUGUGAAAGCCCCGGGCUCAACCUGGGAACUGCAUUUGAAACUGAGUGACUAGAGUUUAAGAGAGGGGAGUAGAAUUCCGGGUGUAGCGGUGAAAUGCGUAGAGAUCCGGAGGAAUACCAGUGGCGAAGGCGGCUCCCUGGCUUAAAACUGACGCUGAGGUACGAAAGCGUGGGUAGCAAACAGGAUUAGAAACCCCUGUAGUCC